UCCGAGUUGACCCCGGCAGUCUCCUAUGAGUCCCCACCAUUACGUGCUGGCAACAUAGAACGAGGGUUGCGCUCGUUGCGGGACUUAACCCAACAUCUCACGACACGAGCUGACGACAGCCAUGCACCACCUGUAUACCGGUAUCAAUGAGACCCCCAUCUCUGGGAGCUUCCGGUAUAUGUCAAACCCAGGUAAGGUUCUUCGCGUUGCAUCGAAUUAAUCCGCAUGCUCCGCCGCUUGUGCGGGCCCCCGUCAAUUCCUUUGAGUUUCAGCCUUGCGACUGUACUCCCCAGGCGGCAUAUUUAACGCGUUAGCUCCGGCACAGACCAAAUGAAUGGCCCACACCAAAUAUGCAUCGUUUAGGGCGUGGACUAC
rnacentral:misc_RNA from 1 species